GAUGAACGCUGGCGGCGUGCCUAAUACAUGCAAGUCGAGCGAACAGAUGAGGAGCUUGCUCCUCUGACGUUAGCGGCGGACGGGUGAGUAACACGUGGAUAACCUACCUAUAAGACUGGGAUAACUUCGGGAAACCGGAGCUAAUACCGGAUAAUAUAUUGAACCGCAUGGUUCAAUAGUGAAAGACGGUUUUGCUGUCACUUAUAGAUGGAUCCGCGCCGCAUUAGCUAGUUGGUAAGGUAACGGCUUACCAAGGCAACGAUGCGUAGCCGACCUGAGAGGGUGAUCGGCCACGCUGGAACUGGGACACGGUCCAGACUCCUACGGGAGGCAGCAGUAGGGAAUCUUCCGCAAUGGGCGAAAGCCUGACGGAGCAACGCCGCGUGAGUGAUGAAGGUCUUCGGAUCGUAAAACUCUGUUAUUAGGGAAGAACAAAUGUGUAAGUAACUAUGCACGUCUUGACGGUACCUAAACAGAAAGCCACGGCUAACUACGU
rnacentral:rRNA from 1 species